GAGUUUUUCUAUCCGGAUUCUUAGCGCGGACUCCGAGUGCCGCUUUUCUCUACGUGCUUUGCACAUGCGCGACUGCUCUUCCCUUCUUCCUCCGCUUCCACUGGCGUCCACGGUUCGCCGAGCCGCCGCCAGCACCGCGGAGAAGUCGGGAAGUUCAAGAUGGCCGCCACGGAGCCCCCGUCGCUGCGAGAGCAGCCUGAGAUGGAUGAUGCUGAUAUUUCUGAAAAGAGUAUAAAUGAAGAAAAUGGAGAAGUAUCAGAAGACCAAUCGCAAAAUAAACACAGUCGUCACAAAAAAAAGAAGCAUAAACACAGAAGUAAACAUAAGAAACAUAAACAUUCCUCAGAAGAGGAUAGGGAUAAAAAACACAAACAUAAGCAUAAGCAUAAGAAACACAAACGGAAAGAAGUUAUCGAUGCUUCUGAUAAAGAAGGCCUGUCCCCUGCAAAAAGAACUAAACUUGAUGAUUUAGCUUUGCUGGAAGACUUGGAAAAGCAGAGAGCCUUGAUUAAAGCUGAGCUUGAUAAUGAAUUAAUGGAGGGGAAGGUCCAAUCUGGAAUGGGUCUCAUUUUGCAAGGCUAUGAGUCUGGCUCUGAAGAAGAAGGAGAGAUUCACGAAAAGGCAAGAAAUGGAAAUAGGUCCAGUACCAGGUCUUCCAGUACACGGGGAAAACUUGAAAUUACGGACAACAAAAAUAGUGCAAAAAAACGAAGUAAAAGCAGAUCCAAAGAACGGACUAGGCAUAGAUCGGACAAAAGGAAAAGCAAGGGAGCUGUGGAAAUGGUGAGAGAGAAAGCAAACAGGAGCAAGUCCAAGGAGAGGAGAAAAUCCAAAAGUCCAUCCAAAAGAAGCAAGUCUCAAGACCAAGCAAGAAAGUCAAAGUCCCCUACACUUAGACGGCGGUCCCAAGAGAAAGUGGGAAAGGCCAGAUCUCCUGCUGAUGAGAAGAUGAAGAGUGAAGAGAAAGGUAAAAUAAAGGAUAGGAAAAAAUCACCAAUUGUAAAUGAAAGAAGUCGAGAUAGAGCUAAAAAAUCCAAGUCCCCAGUUGACUUAAGAGAUAAAUCCAAAGACAGAAGGUCAAGGUCCAAAGAGCGGAAGUCAAAACGAUCUGAAAUUGACAAAGAAAAGAAGCCAAUUAAAUCACCUUCAAAAGAUGCUUCUUCUGGGAAGGAAAAUAGGUCACCCAGUAGAAGACCUGGCCGUAGUCCUAAAAGAAGAAGUUUGUCUCCAAAACAACGAGACAAGUCAAGAAGAAGUAGGUCUCCGCUUCUCAAUGACAGAAGAUCUAAGCAGAGCAAAUCGCCUUCUCGAACUCUGUCUCCAGGCAGAAGGGCCAAAAGCCGAUCCCUAGAAAGAAAACGGAGAGAACCAGAGAGGAGACGACUUUCUUCUCCGAGAACACGGCCUCGAGAUGAUAUCCUUGGAAGAUGUGAACGAUCAAAAGAUGCCAGCCCCAUCAAUAGGUGGUCUCCAACCCGAAGAAGAAGUAGGUCUCCCAUUAGAAGGAGAUCCCGUUCCCCAUUGAGACGCAGCAGGUCUCCUAGAAGAAGAAGCAGGUCUCCUCGGAGAAGAGAUAGGAGUCGAAGGAGCCGGUCACGCUUGAGAAGAAGGUCUCGAUCACGGGGUGGCCAUAGGAGAAGGAGCAGAAGCAAAGUAAAGGAAGAUAAAUUUAAAGGAAGUCUCUCCGAAGGAAUGAAAGUUGAGCAAGAGUCUUCAUCUGAUGAUAACCUUGAAGAUUUUGAUGUGGAGGAAGAAGAUGAAGAGGCUCUAAUAGAACAGAGAAGAAUACAGAGGCAAGCGAUUGUGCAGAAAUAUAAAUAUCUCGCUGAAGAUAGCAAUAUAUCUGUGCCAUCUGAGCCAAGCAGCCCCCAGAGCAGCACAAGAUCACGAUCCCCUUCGCCAGACGACAUCUUGGAGCGGGUGGCUGCUGACGUAAAAGAAUAUGAACGGGAGAAUGUUGACACCUUUGAGGCCUCAGUAAAAGCCAAGCAUAAUCUAAUGACAGUUGAACAGAAUAAUGGUUCAUCUCAGAAGAAGCUUUUGGCACCUGAUAUGUUUACAGAAUCUGAUGAUAUGUUUGCUGCUUACUUUGAUAGUGCUCGUCUCCGGGCUGCUGGCAUUGGUAAAGAUUUCAAAGAGAAUCCUAACCUCAGAGAUAAUUGGACAGAUGCAGAAGGCUAUUACCGUGUGAACAUUGGGGAAGUCCUAGAUAAGCGUUAUAAUGUGUAUGGCUACACUGGGCAGGGUGUGUUCAGCAAUGUUGUCCGUGCCAGGGAUAAUGCAAGAGCCAAUCAGGAAGUGGCUGUAAAGAUCAUCAGGAACAAUGAACUCAUGCAAAAAACUGGUUUAAAAGAGCUAGAGUUCUUGAAGAAACUUAAUGAUGCUGAUCCUGAUGACAAGUUCCAUUGCCUGCGCCUCUUUAGACACUUUUACCACAAACAGCAUCUCUGCCUCGUAUUUGAGCCUCUCAGUAUGAAUUUGCGAGAGGUAUUAAAAAAAUAUGGUAAGGAUGUCGGUCUCCAUAUUAAGGCUGUAAGAUCAUACAGUCAGCAGUUGUUCCUGGCAUUGAAACUCCUUAAAAGAUGCAAUAUUCUGCAUGCAGAUAUCAAACCAGAUAAUAUUCUGGUUAAUGAAUCCAAAACAAUUUUAAAGCUGUGUGAUUUUGGAUCGGCUUCUCAUGUUGCAGAUAAUGACGUAACGCCUUACCUUGUCAGUAGAUUUUAUCGUGCCCCAGAGAUCAUUAUAGGGAAAAGCUAUGACUACGGUAUCGAUAUGUGGUCUGUAGGUUGUACCUUAUAUGAACUCUAUACUGGAAAAAUCUUAUUCCCUGGCAAAACUAAUAACCAUAUGUUGAAGCUUGCCAUGGACCUUAAAGGAAAAAUGCCAAAUAAGAUGAUCAGGAAAGGUGUAUUCAAAGAUCAACAUUUUGACCAAAAUCUGAACUUCAUGUACAUAGAGGUUGAUAAAGUAACAGAGAGGGAGAAAGUUACUGUCAUGAGCACCAUUAAUCCAACUAAGGACCUAUUGGCUGACUUGAUUGGGUGCCAGCGACUUCCUGAAGAUCAACGUAAAAAAGUACACCAGCUAAAGGACUUGUUGGACCAGAUCCUAAUGUUGGACCCAGCUAAGCGAAUUAGCAUCAACCAGGCCCUGCAGCAUGCAUUCAUCCAGGAAAAAAUUUAAAUGAGAUGAAGAAACUCCAAGGGUUUGAGUAAUUAAAUACAAAGACUGAAGAAAUUUCACAGCGGUUUAUUAUUAAUGUAUAUAAACUUAUAAAUAUUUCUGCAGCAAAUUUGAGGAAGCAUGAUAUAUUUGAAUUAACACCGAGGGUGAUAUUUCUUUUAGAAAUGUUAGUUAAUCUGUUUUGUGUCUUAUGUGAAAUUUCACUGUAGAAAUGUUUUAAUUGCCAAGACUGCACAAAAUUACAGUGCUAAUGUAUGUGGUUGCAGUUCACAUAAAAGACAAAAAGCAUCUGUUAUGAGUAGCAGUGCUGGGUGGUUGAUUUGUCUUUAGCAGACUUGGCUUCAGUUUGCUCUUCAGAUACAAUGGCCAGCAUAAAUGCUGUUUAUAUUCACGUUUUCCUAGGUGUGUGUGUGCAGGCCACAGCAGCAUGCCCUUGGUGUAGUCAGUGCCGAAGGGAGUCUGUUCCUUCUUGAGCCUGCCUGCAGGGAUGUCUCCUUUUAAAGCAGGUUGUGUACAACAUUCAGUACACUGAAGGUAAGCUAAACCAUCAACAUCACCAGUGUUUUAAGAUGUUAUUUUAUUGGAAUAAUUGAAAAUGAGGGAUAGCUUUGUGGCAGAAUUCCCUGCAUGUGUGAUAACUGAUCUUGUUUUAUUUUUUCGCAUCGCAACUGUGGCAUAGUUACAGUUUCUGUUCUGUUCAUCACAUUUAAAAUUUGAAGCGAAUGCGCUUGAUGGAUAGAGCGCCUUCAGUGUACUGUUUCUUAACUUUACUUUUUUUUUUUAAAUCAACUUGCUAUAGACUUUAUACAUUUUGUUAAAUACAGUUCUUAGUGACAUAGAGACUGCAUAGUUUUCAUUUACUAAUUAAAAUGUUGAGGCCUACUUCUGAAAGUCCUCAUAUUUAAAAGAUAGACAACAUAAUGAGAUUUUUAACUAUUUGUAUGUCAUUUUGAAAGUGUACUGCUUUAUGGUAAAAGUGUUUUUCAUUUGUUCAUUGUUUGCAUUAUUUGUGAUCAUGUUGUCUUUCAAUACAGGCAUAAACCUUCCACUCUUGAACAAAGCAGCUGCUUUUUAAAAGCGGUAAUUGCUUCUUUACCUUUUAUUUCUUUUGUAAAUGAAGCUUUUCUUUUAAAAUGUGACUUUAAAGUGUUGUCUAUUGCAUAAACAGUUGACACUCACUUACUGUAAUGAGAAGAUUGUUCUACUGCAUGGGAAGUGGACCAUGCAGAUUUCUGUAUGUUCUCAGUAUGCAUCACUAGAUAAUAAAGUCUUUUGUGAACAAGGCAUUUGUAGCCAUUUUUAAAAGAUUUUGUCUUCAGUGCUGGUAAGUCAGGUAAACUGUAAAUAGUUAAAGCAGUCUUUGUUUUUCUCCUGAAAGUAUUACCUGCUAAAGAUGUAACUCAGUAUAUCCUUAUCUCUAAAUUUUUUUAAUAAUUAGGGUCUUAAUUAUUUCAUCCAGAAAAAGUUCUUCAAAUUUUAUCAGCUUUCAGUGUAGUGAGGUUAUUCCUCAGUGUAGUAGGUUAUGGGGUAUCACUCAGGAUUUAACUAAUGUUUCUGCUAUUUUCUCACUUUUCCUUUUGAUGGUGCGGAAAGAGAAAAAGGAAAACGGGGCACAGGCCAUUCGACGCCUUCUCCAAGGGGUCUGAUUUGCUGAGACACCAGCUCCACCUUCUUAACAAGGUUAUUUCUGACAGCAUGUGUAGAUAAACAUUUAGCAACAAUUUAAAACAAAAUCAUGUAAAUCAGCUUGGUUUUGCGACACAAAGGAUUUUGUGUGUUUAAGAUGAUAGAGAGAAUUUUUUAAAUCCUAUGUAAUCUUGUAUUUGGGAGUGGGUAAACUUACUGCUUGUCUCCCUGAGGACUAUGGAGAACAAUAACAUUUGGGGGUUUAAGUAGCAUUUUUACAUUGUAAAUGGGAUUUUUUUAUUCACCCAGGCACCUAAUUACAACAAGCAUGCACAUUUUGGUGCAUUCAAGAAUGGAAUAUCAGAAUAGCAGCAUUCUCCUGGUGGGUUAUGCUCCAUUUAAAGACAUGAAAUGAACUACACAGCCAGGAAGGUGAUAGAUGAGAUAAUAAACCACCUAUGAACCUACACCGUCUCCUCAUGGUUAGACUUACUAAAGUAAACACACGGUGCAGCUCACUGGAAGAUGACGGCAGCCAGAAGACAUGAGCCAAGGGUAAGGGACUGUUCUUCUGAAGAACCAUUCCAUUUAGUGAUCAAGAUACGGAAGCUGCUCUGAGAAAAUGUUGUGUAUCCUAAUUGUUCAUGAUACCAUUUGAGUUGUAACUUACAUUGUAGCAGCAAAUGAUCCCAAACAACUUAAUAGGAAGCUUAAUAAAGUGUGCCUCUUGCUAUCA